rnacentral:rRNA from 1 species
CCUACGGGAGGCAGCAGUGGGGAAUAUUGCACAAUGGGGGAAACCCUGAUGCAGCGACGCCGCGUGAGUGAAGAAGUAAUUCGUUAUGUAAAGCUCUAUCAGCAGGGAAGAAAAUGACGGUACCUGAGUAAGCAGCCCCGGCUAACUACGUGCCAGCAGCCGCGGUAAUACGUAGGGUGCAAGCGUUAUCCGGUUUUACUGGGUGUAACGGGAACGUAGACGGCAGUGCAAGUCUGGAGUGAAAGGCGGGGGCUCAACCCCCGGACUGCUCUGGAAACUGUACGGCUGGAGUGCAGGAGAGGUAAGUGGAAUUCCUGGUGUAGCGGUGAAAUGCGUAGAUAGUAGGAGGAACACCAGUGGCGAAGGCGGCUUACUGGACUGUAACUGACGUUGAGGCUCGAAAGCGUGGGGAGCAAACAGGAUUAGAUACCCCUGUAGUC